rnacentral:lncRNA from 1 species
GCAAACAUUGUCUCUGCAGACUUCAGAGCUCUGGUUCCUCUUGAGUUGGGGAUUUCAUCUCAUUUAACUUUCAUCAUGAAAGAAGGAUGCAUUCUGAAGCUCUUAUUCACGCUACAAAAGACUGUUGAAGUUAGUUUUAUCACAUGCCUACGCAAGACAUUUUGGAGGCUUUGGGUCUAAAAUAGGGAAGAAGAGGCGGAGAAGGAGAGAGGAGAAAUUGUUUCGCAAUUCCAGUGUCUGGCAAAGUAUUGGAGGAGGGGUCACUGGAACUGCAGUUGAAGGAAACACAUCGCUGAGGUUUAAACUGUGUACGUGCUAUCCAGUUCAUGUACUUUCCAUGACAAAUGUUACAGAUGGGUUCUGUGCAAGCUGGCAAAAAUAGCCAUGUGGGUAUAAUACGUUGCCGCAUACCUAAAAUACAGAAUUUUACAAGCACAUGGUAUGUUUUACUAUAUUAUUGAACUGUGUAAAUUAUUUACUUCUAUUGCUUGAAAUAAUAUCUAAACUUUACCUUGGAAU